CAGUCGCCGCGGUAAUACGUGGGUGGCAAGCGUUGUCCGGAAUUAUUGGGCGUAAAGGGCUCGCAGGCGGUUUCUUAAGUCUGAUGUGAAAGCCCCCGGCUCAACCGGGGAGGGUCAUUGGAAACUGGGAAACUUGAGUGCAGAAGAGGAGAGUGGAAUUCCACGUGUAGCGGUGAAAUGCGUAGAGAUGUGGAGGAACACCAGUGGCGAAGGCGACUCUCUGGUCUGUAACUGACGCUGAGGAGCGAAAGCGUGGGGAGCGAACAGGAUUAGAUACCCCUGUAGUCCCUGUCUCUUAUAC
rnacentral:rRNA from 1 species